rnacentral:rRNA from 1 species
UACGUAGGGGGCAAGCGUUGUCCGGAAUCAUUGGGCGUAAAGAGCGUGUAGGCGGCCCGGUAAGUCCGCUGUGAAAGUCCAGGGCUCAACCCUGGGAUGCCGGUGGAUACUGUCGGGCUCGAGUCCGGAAGAGGAUUGUGGAAUUCCUGGUGUAGCGGUGAAAUGCGCAGAUAUCAGGAGGAACACCAAUGGCGAAGGCAGCACUCUGGGACGUGACUGACGCUGAGACGCGAAAGCGUGGGGAGCAAACAGG